UGUGUGUGUGUGGAGAGAGAGAGAGAGAGAGAGAGAGAGAGAGAGAGAGAGAGAGAGAGAGAGAGAGAGAGAGAGAGAGAGAGAGAGAGAGAGAGAGAGAGAGAGAGAGAGAGAGAUGCAGAAGUUGAAGAGGUGAUUUGGGAGUGUGUUGGUGGGCAGGGGAAGGGUAUGUGUGAAAUCGAGGUGUGUGUAUUUGAGUAUGUUGUGUGUAAAUGUAAAUCAAUGCAGCCGUUCCAUAUGGGUUGCUAUUGCUAGUUGGUUCAGGUAGUGGUUGCAGACACCUCUGUUUGGACAGGUUUUAGCUGACAUUGGUUGGAAUGGGAAAGCUGUUCCUGCUGAAAUUUGGAGUGUGAUCAGCAGCUUAUGGUUGUAGCUGCUUCGGUGGGAUUUGGAUGAAUCUGGAUUAGAGUUUAUAGCUGAAGCAUUUUCUCUUCAAAUCCAGGAGCUAGAUGAUGAAGUCUUAAUGGAGAAUCGGAGUUAGGAUAAGCUUGGUGUCACAAGUAUGAGUAAGGUUGUAGUGGUUAUUCUCAAAGCUGUGUUCGCGAACCUGCUAGCAAUUUUGGAUGCUUCUGGGUCUGAUCGUCUAAAUUGCUCUGUUUGAUCAUUGUCCUCUACUCCUGUUAUGUUGUGAGGGUAGUUGUUGUUGCUAUGCCUGUUUGCUUCAUACGCUGCAGCUGCUCCUGGUUUUGCAGGACAUAUCUUCAUCCUUCAACCUCCUUGCUGCUGUCUUGAAGACUCUGCAAUUUUGUCUGUGCCUCUGCCCUUGAUUUUUACAAGGCCAUUAUGUUGAUUGGGAAGGAGGACAUUAAGGGCUAUUGGAAAGGCAAUCUAGCACAGGUGAUACACAUAAAUUUAUAUGGUGCUGUGCAGCUGUUUGCCUAUGAAUCCUACAAGUAUUCAGUUUGUUAUGUCCGAACAUGUGAUCUAUCUUUUCCAUCUUGGGAUAUAGAAUAUUUUCACAGGAAUGGAUGGGGAGCUCUCUGUUGUUGGGUGACUCGAAGUAGGGGCUUGAGCUGGUGACCCACCAUCAAGUCCAAUUUCAAUCUCUCUUUUUUUUUCUUUUUUUCUUUUUUUUCUCAUUGACAGGAGGAGAUGGGAACUGGAGAAAAUGGGUUGGACCCGAGCCUGGAUUUUGUACUGGUCAGGCCAGGCCUUCAGGCUAGCGUUGUUCAAAAUUUUGAUUUUGCUAGUCCCUGGCAUGGGCCCAUUGGCCUGGCUUCUUGGCUCCACCAUUUAUUAGCCAUUGUCAGAAAAUCAGUCUGGUCAUCAAGUGGGCCACUUGUAUAAUCAAUGUGGACUGUUGGUCAAUUUUCUAUCUAUUCGUUUUAUCAUAGAGUACAGCCCAUCUGAUGACCAGACCGGCCUAUUUUCGGGCUAUGGCACAUUUACGGUGCAGCCCACCAGAUCAACAACCAGGAUCUUACACACAAAGUUGGAUUCAAAAAUCUACUCUCACAGUUACCUAUAACAGUUCUCUUGUUUUGUUCUUGAUUCUUAACAUUUGUACCGUGCAGGAAAAGACAUUGAUCUAAGAAUCAAGCAGCUGGAAUCAGACAUUACAUAUCUUGUUGCAAAGCAAGAAUCAGAGUUAGCUUUGGGGGGGAUAACUACUCCAAAUCCAUGGAGCUCUUUGGACUCCUCACAGAGCUUCCUCGAAUCCACAAGGGAUAAAACCAGGAAUAAUUCCUAAUAAAUUUGAAAUAACUUAAUUGAUGAUUAAAAAAUGAAAUUACAACUCUUUAAAUAAGGAACUCAAACCUAGGAUGGAGUUUUAGACUUAGAAUCCAACUCAAACAUCCUAAAAACAUCACUGACUAUAAAGAUUAAACUUAUUAUUAUAGACGACCUCUAUUCCUACUAGACUUUGUGGUUUUCAGCAAAAAUAUAGUAAGUGUUGAAUUUGGCCCAGCCACGUUAUUCUCCUAACUUUUCUGUGUCCUUUUCAUCGUGGACACAAUUUCUACAUCUCAAAGGAUCAAAAGUUCUACUCAAACUAAAACUUAUUAUUUAUAGUAAAAACAAAAUUAAAUGAGACUUUUGACCGCCGAUUCGAUGGAAUCUCUCAAAUCUGGAGCAACCUAGCGUAGUGGUGUUGGUUGGCUUAAGUAUGUCCCCCUAUCCUAAAAUCAUAUAUAAAUGUCAAAAAAUCAUCCCAGUUAGUGAGAUAGGACUAAUUUAAGGUUUUGAUGGUCCAAAUCGUUUCUACCUCCGAUCAGGCAUUCUCUGGUCCAUCUUUGUCAUGUCUGCGACCUACUCGACAUCAGUACAGCUCCUGCAAAUGCAUUUAUUUUUAAUUCUAACCUUUCUCCUCUUGCCAUUCAUCCAUCUCAAUAUCCGCAUUCCAACUAUACUCAUCCUAUGAACAAGUUGUUAUUUAACUAUCCAACAUUGAAUCUGAUAAAGCAUGCAUGGUCUUAUAAGUUUUCAUCAUCAUUAUCUAAACCUUAUUGCAAUUCGCAACUAAUUUGGUCAGCUGCAUGAACCUUUUUUUGCCAUUCCACUUUAUCAAGGAUGACAAAUCUUAUAUCUUUCCUAUAAAAUUUUCCUUUUAGGUUAAGUGGUACACGACAACAUCAUUUUAUUUGGAUUCAUGAUAAAAGACAUCAAGACCCUCAUAGGUGCAAUUGAAUAGAUUAUCACAUAACUUAAUUACCAGGCUGGAGUUUCAGGUCCAAGGCCGUCAAGCCGCUUAGGGCAGCAGGUGGUGAUAUCGUUUCUUCUAUCAUGGAGCUUACAAACUAGCAAGGAGAAGUCCUGGCCUUUCUAUCUCGAUGACAAAGGUAUUAAGAAUGUGCGUUGUUUGGAAGAACCCUAUCUUGGAUAUUGGGAUGCUGAUGAGCCCUUUUGCUGUCUUGACGUAUGCUUGGAGGAAGUAUGGGUGAGCAAUUUCAUGGCUUUUGAUUAUGAGGUGGUGUAUGCAAAAUUUAUCAUGGCAAAUGCUCGAGUGCUCAAGAGAAUGUCUAUUACAGGGCAUAGCCUUUGUCACUAUCAGAAAGCUGACUUAACAGAAGUAGCGAAUGAUUUAAUUUCAUUGCAAAAGGCUUCUCCAAACGCAUGUAUAAAUUUGAAAAUUUGACAUUUGAGAAUUGUUAUAUUUAAUUUCCUUGCAAAAGGCUUCUUCAUACGCAUGUAUAAAUUUGACGUUUGAGACUUGGUACUUUUAAUUUCAUUGCAAAAAGCU